rnacentral:lncRNA from 1 species
CAGCAAAUAUCUUCCACUGAGAUCGUGUGGUUUUAAUCAUACAAGGAGAGUGGCAGAAGAACAGAAAGAUUGAAACCAAGGACAGAGAACACCUGAAAUUGGUUCAGGGUCAUAUGUCACAGCGCUGGGCAUUUCAUUUGGGUAUCUAUCAUCAUUCCCAUUCUGCAAUGAGGAAAUGCUGUCAGAGUGAUUAAGUAAUUUGCCCAUGGUCUCACAUAGAAGCCUGUCUUCUCCAGGGAACACAGCACUCAGAAUCGUCUCGGCCCCUGCAUAAGCCUGCAUGAGCCUGGGCUCUGGGGACCCAUCCUGGUGCAUCAUUCGUUGGCUCUGUGACAAUGGGCACAUCGUUUAACCUCUCUUGGCUUCAUUCUCCUUACUGGAAUGAUGGAGAGAGUUUUGCCUAUUUCAGAGGCUUGCUCUUCUAUACGUGAGCCUAUAAGUAACUUGUCUUAAGAAUUUCCACUCCUUCUGUACUCUGAUUUAAAUUUGAAGGCAUCAAAACAAAAACAAUCAAGAUUUCAGAUUCCAAAU